GGGUAGACCUCCCACCCUUGAAUAACUACCUUCGUUGCUUUGGCGAGCCGCUUCGGCUACCGACCUUGGUUGGUACGCGCUCGCCGGAGAACACCAAACUCUGAAUUAAUUUGUCGUCUGAGUACUAUAUAAUAGUUAAAACUUUCAACAACGGAUCUCUUGGUUCUGGCAUCGAUGAAGAACGCAGCGAAAUGCGAUAAGUAAUGUGAAUUGCAGAAUUCAGUGAAUCAUCGAAUCUUUGAACGCACAUUGCGCCCCCUGGUAUUCCGGGGGGCAUGCCUGUUCGAGCGUCAUUUAAACCCUCAAGCUCAGCUUGGUGUUGGGGCCUGCCCACCGGCAGCCCUUAAAAUCAGUGGCGGUGCCAUCUGGCUCUAAGCGUAGUAAUUUCUCUCGCUAUAGGGUCCCGGUGGAGACUUGCCAAAACCCCCAAUUUUUCUAUGGUUGACCUCGGAUCAGGUAGGGAUACCCGCUGAACUUAAGCAUAUCAAUAAGCGGAGGAAAAGAAACCAACAGGGAUUACCUCAGUAACGGCGAGUGAAGCGGUAACAGCUCAAAUUUGAAAUCUGGCCCUUUCAGGGUCCGAGUUGUAAUUUGUAGAAGAUGCUUCGGGUGUAGCUCCGGUCUAAGUUCCUUGGAACAGGACGUCAUAGAGGGUGAGAAUCCCGUAUGUGACUGGUUGCUUUCGCCCAUGUGAAGCUCUUUCGACGAGUCGAGUUGUUUGGGAAUGCAGCUCUAAAUGGGUGGUAAAUUUCAUCUAAAGCUAAAUAUUGGCCAGAGACCGAUAGCGCACAAGUAGAGUGAUCGAAAGAUGAAAAGCACUUUGGAAAGAGAGUUAAACAGUACGUGAAAUUGUUGAAAGGG
rnacentral:rRNA from 1 species